rnacentral:lncRNA from 1 species
GACAGCCACGUGCCGAAGCGUGCCGACCUUUUGUCACGAGCUCGGUCUCUUCUUCGACCCAACAAGGGGGAGGAUCGUCGAGAUUCAACGUGCUAGGACACGUGUACCAAAUAGGCUUGGUGGCCCAAAGCCUGUUUGCUUCGACCAAGGACCACCGUAGUGACGGUCUAGGGCACAAUGAAGCGUGUGGUUCUUGAGCUGCCCUUCAUUGGAAGGAUCAAAGUUCUCCGCAUGAAACCAUCAUCGAGGCGUAUAUUAAAACGUCCUUGAAACAGAAACGCGGGGAAUUGACUAUGACUCCACAGUAUUGAAGCUCUGUCGUUGCUUUUUCACCUCUGGGAAUUCACCAAUCCGCGCGAUGGUUCGCACGCGUUGAAGCUGUCGAGCGGAAACGUCGAUUUCUCAGCACCGGUUAUCGGCGUUCACCUUCGGCGAUGGAGGGCCUUUGAUUGGCACGAAAGGUAUCCGUUCGUCGCGACAGAGUGUGCGGAAAAAGGAAGAGCUCCGGUUUCGGUGUCAGUGAAGACAGAAUGUGAAAGACGGCGUCAAGACGAAACGAAUACAAGGAAUAGAGACAGAGUUAGUUCGAUUCAAUUUAACUAGACUGCGUGCAGGUAAAAAAGAGAAAACGAGUGACAUGAAUUUCAUUCUGCGAGUGUUGAAUAGAUGAUUGUUUGAUACGUCUUCAUUGAGAAUUUCUCCAUCAUUUUAAAGAACUUUUUGUAACGAAG